GCGGCGGUAAGGUGGGGGGAGGUAACAGCUAACUUGUUUUAUACUCUAUUUUUAUACUUGAUCAUCAGGUUGAAUUUUUGUAGAUAUGACAUCCACUUCAUGUAUCAUGCUUGCUGCAAUUUGAAUUGUAUUUGAAGGUAUUGAAGUAGUCGAUGGUCGAUAUAGAGAAUCAUCUUCUUCCCUAGAAAAUAUAUGCCUAAUUUUUUUAUCAUAAAUGUGAUAAUUCUUUUGAGA
rnacentral:lncRNA from 1 species